UGUUCAUAGGAGCGACCAGGAGAAGAGGGGAGGGAGCCAACCCUAGUUCUUCAAGAAUCUUCAAAUUGAAGCUCAAUUCAGGCCCUAAAUCGAUGCAUGAACACAUAAAAACGAUCACCAAGCUUAGGGGAUCAUGAGUUUAACGCUUAACAAGCUAGGUGGGAGCUUGUGGAGGAAGCGGGUCAAACGGAUCAAGAACGAAAAGAAAAGCGUGGUUUUGGAUGCAAGUUGUUGACAGCAACAGUUCCGCUACUUGCAGAAAUUAUUUCG
rnacentral:lncRNA from 1 species